AAAAUCACAUUGCUUAAAUAGGGUUGUUGAGGGAAGCAAUGAUGGAGGCCUUAGCUGGACUGUAUUGGACAAGCGGAGUUCUCAGCUAUUUGAGAAGCGAUUCCAGCGCAGAAGUUUCAGAGUUGAAACAACAUCGCUUUGUAAUGCGUUCAGAUUCAAUUUUAUUUCAGUAAGGGAUCCAAAUGCCACUUCAAGGUUUCAGAUAGGCAGCAUAAACCUCUAUUCCAAAGCAAGCAUUAAAAGUUAAGUGUUCAGGGUUUAAUUUGAAAAUAAAA